rnacentral:rRNA from 1 species
GAUGAACGCUGGCGGCGUGCCUAAUACAUGCAAGUCGAGCGAACGGACGAGAAGCUUGCUUCUCUGAUGUUAGCGGCGGACGGGUGAGUAACACGUGGAUAACCUACCUAUAAGACUGGGAUAACUUCGGGAAACCGUAGCUAAUACCGGAUAAUAUUUUGAACCGCAUGAUUCAAAAGUGAAGGACGGUCUUGCUGUCACUUAUAGAUGGAUCCGCGCUGCAUUAGCUAGUUGGUAAGGUAACGGCUUACCAAGGCAACGAUGCAUAGCCGACCUGAGAGGGUGAUCGGCCACACUGGAACUGAGACACGGUCCAGACUCCUACGGGAGGCAGCAGUAGGGAAUCUUCCGCAAUGGGCGAAAGCCUGGCGGAGCAACGCCGCGUGAGUGAUGAAGGUCUUCGGAUCGUAAAACUCUGUUAUUAGGGAAGAACAUAUGUGUAAGUAACUGUGCACAUCUUGACGGUACCUAAUCAGAAAGCCACGGCUAACUACGUG